AAUAAAUAAUAUCUUGCAUAAUUAUUAAUCUCUUGUUCCACUCUGUAACUGUUUGGUAAUUGCAUAUUUGAAAGUCAGCUGUUUAUUACCAUGUUAACGCCAAAAUGUGGCGUUGUUACACAGGAUCUACUAUCAACUCCAUGGUAAUACCAGUGUUGACACCAUCUUGAUUUAAUGAUUUAAAGCCAAGGACCUAGUCGUUCAAAUUCCUAUGUGACCACGUUUUUUCAUUUCACUUUAAUAUAUGGGCCAACUAGUUCAGAUAUACUGUGCCCCUUCACAAUUGUUGUUAAACGGUCCUAUUUAUAUCAGUAUGGUUUUAACACUGCUAUUACCUGUGCAGUUGAAGGUUGCAGCCCCAUGUAUUUAACAAGGUCAAAUUCGGUAUAUGAUAUAAAAAUGGUAAUUAACAGGUGACUUAUUUAGAAUGUGUUGUUACAAAUAUACAUAGUGGAACAAAAGCAAGUAAUUGUGUCUGAAGUGACACAUUCCUUGUUCAAAUUGAGUAAUAACUAAUUCCAUAUCACCACUUUGUUAAUAGUUAUUACUGUUAUUCACAUAGUAUUUAGGGCAAUUUAAGUGUUACCAAGUCUUCUUUUCAUAGGAGUAUUUGGUCUGAGGAAAACCGUGAUUUUGUUAUUGCACGUCUACUUAGGCUAUGUACUUCCGGUUUGCUUGUCCAAUGGUUUACAAAGUCUUACAGUAAGGACCGAUCAGUUAAUAUGCAUCAGUAACUGUGCUUGAGCAGUUAAGGCUUCGCAGACAAUCUUCCUGCUAGCCGAUUUAUCCUAAUAUCUUACUCAAUUGCAGAGAUACAUGGGAUACAUAGCAUUGUAUCUCCACAACACAUUGCUAGUUAUUAACUUUCGGUAACUUCAAGCAUGUACAGUAGUGUUUCUUACAGUUGUCUAAUAGCUAGUCAUUCUGCAUAGGGAAUGAGUUAUGCCUGUCUCAGUCUCUUUUACCAAAUGUAAGUAUCUCACUUUCACAGCUUUUUCUACAUUCCAAACUAUCUGGAUAGGUUUAUCGCCAAAGAUCAUUUCUUUCCCAGUUCAAUCUGCUGCCUUUCUCCUUCCUCUACCUAUAAAAAAAAGUACUCUUGUGAUUGUUUUCUGACGUG
ensembl:lncRNA